rnacentral:rRNA from 1 species
CCUACGGGAGGCUGCAGUGAGGAAUAUUUGUCAAUGGCCGUAAGCCUGAACCAGCCAAGUCGCGUGAAGGAAGAAGGAUCUAUGGUUUGUAAACUUCUUUUAUAGGGGAAUAAAGGUAUCCACGUGAGGAUUUUUGCAUGUACCCUAUGAAUAAGCAUCGGCUAACUCGGUGCCAGCAGCCGCGGUAAUACGGAGGAUGCGAGCGUUAUCCGGAUUGUUUGGGGAUAAAGGGUGCGUAGGUGGUUUAUUAAGUCAGCGGUGAAAGUUUGGGGCUCAACCAUAAGAUUGCCAUUGAAACUGGAAGGCUUGAGUGUGUUAGAGGUAGGUGGAAUGCGUGGUGUAGCAGUGAAAUGCAUAGAUAUUACGAAGAACUCCGAUUGCGAAGGCAGGUUACUAAGCCAUAACUGACACUGAGGCACGAAAGCGUGGGGAGCAAACAGGAUUAGAUACCCGGGUAGUC